GCCAUCUCAAAGGUCCCUGAAUGUCAUUGCUAGGAUUCCAGAGAUGACACUGUCAAGAAUGGAUAUUCCUCUUCCCAUCGCUGUUCCUAUCAAUCCAGACGGAACCCUUUCCAUUCAAAUCGAUGAGGACAUUCUCUCUUGGAUCCAAAAACAUAUCAAGGAAGAAUAAGACAUUACAUUUGACAUUUUCAGAAGAGAAUGGGAGCUGUGUUCAUGGAGAACUCCUUGACAGUUUAAUUGAACACAUUAUCAUUGUUGUCAUGUACAGUAUGUAAUGUAAUGCAGUCUAAUGCUAAUAAAUAUACUGCAAGUGAAA